rnacentral:rRNA from 1 species
AGAGUUUGAUCCUGGCUCAGAGUGAACGCUGGCGGCAGGCCUAACACAUGCAAGUCGAACGGCAGCACAGCAGUAGCAAUACUGUGGGUGGCGAGUGGCGGACGGGUGAGGAAUGCGUCGGAAUCUGCCUAUUUGUGGGGGAUAACGUAGGGAAACUUACGCUAAUACCGCAUACGACCUACGGGUGAAAGUGGGGGACCUUCGGGCCUCACGCAGAUAGACGAGCCGACGCCGGAUUAGCUAGUUGGCGGGGUAAAGGCCCACCAAGGCGACGAUCCGUAGCUGGUCUGAGAGGAUGAUCAGCCACACUGGGACUGAGACACGGCCCAGACUCCUACGGGAGGCAGCAGUGGGGAAUAUUGGACAAUGGGCGCAAGCCUGAUCCAGCCAUGCCGCGUGUGUGAAGAAGGCCUUCGGGUUGUAAAGCACUUUUGUCCGGAAAGAAAUCCUUUCGAUUAAUACUCGGGAGGGAUGACGGUACCGA